rnacentral:rRNA from 1 species
AGUGAACGCUGGCGGUAGGCCUAACACAUGCAAGUCGAACGGCAGCACAGUAAGAGCUUGCUCUUACGGGUGGCGAGUGGCGGACGGGUGAGGAAUACAUCGGAAUCUACUUUUUCGUGGGGGAUAACGUAGGGAAACUUACGCUAAUACCGCAUACGACCUACGGGUGAAAGCAGGGGAUCUUCGGACCUUGCGCGAUUGAAUGAGCCGAUGUCGGAUUAGCUAGUUGGCGGGGUAAAGGCCCACCAAGGCGACGAUCCGUAGCUGGUCUGAGAGGAUGAUCAGCCACACUGGAACUGAGGCACGGUCCCGACUCCUACGGGGGGCAGCAGUGGGGAAUAUUGGACGAAGGGCGCAAGCCUGAUCCAGCCAUACCGCGUGGGUGAAGAAGGCCUUCGGGUUGUAAAGCCCUUUUGUUGGGAAAGAAAAGCAGCAGGUUAAUCCCCCGCUGUUCUGACGGUACCCAAAGAAUAAGCACCGGCUAACUUCGUG